UACAGAGGAGCCAAGCGUUGUCCGGAUUGACUGGGCGUAAAGCGCACGCAGGCGGUUGCGCGCGUGGGGUGUGAAAUCUGGCCGCUUAGCGGCCAGGCGCCAUCCCAUACGGCGCGACUGGAGUGAUGCAGAGGUCGAUGGAAUUGCCGGUGUAGUGGUGAAAUGCGUAGAGAUCGGCAGGAACACCCAGGGGGAAACCAGUCGACUGGGCAUCUACUGACGCUGAGGUGCGAGAGCGUGGGGAGCGAACCGG
rnacentral:rRNA from 1 species